GACGGACGCUGGCGGCGUGCCUAAUACAUGCAAGUUGAGCGAUGAAGAUUGGUGCUUGCACCAAUUUGAAGAGCAGCGAACGGGUGAGUAACGCGUGGGGAAUCUGCCUUUGAGCGGGGGACAACAUUUGGAAACGAAUGCUAAUACCGCAUAAUAACUUUAAACAUAAGUUUUAAGUUUGAAAGAUGCAAUUGCAUCACUCAAAGAUGAUCCCGCGUUGUAUUAGCUAGUUGGUGAGGUAAAGGCUCACCAAGGCGAUGAUACAUAGCCGACCUGAGAGGGUGAUCGGCCACAUUGGGACUGAGACACGGCCCAAACUCCUACGGGAGGCAGCAGUAGGGAAUCUUCGGCAAUGGACGAAAGUCUGACCGAGCAACGCCGCGUGAGUGAAGAAGGUUUUCGGAUCGUAAAACUCGGUUGGUAGAGAAGAACGUUGGUGAGAGUGGAAAGCUCAUCAAGUGACGGUAACUACCCAGAAAGGGACGGCUAACUACGUG
rnacentral:rRNA from 1 species